rnacentral:snRNA from 1 species
AGCUUUGCACAGUGGCAGUAUUGUAGCCAAUGAGGUUAAUCCGAGGCGCGAUUAUUGCUAAUUGAAAACUCUUGUAGUACCUUUUAACAUAUGGUAGGUACUCAAAAGGUACUUGUCAAACCAAAUCGAAUGUGCAUAUUGUUUCCAGUCAAGGUGGACAGAAUAUCUUUUACUCCAUAGAAAUGA